UCGGUACUUAAGUACCGAAUAAAUAUGCGGUGAGCCACUUCAACGGCAGCCGCAUCCAUCCUGUAUGGGCCGAUCCUCACAAAACGGUAGGCACCAACAUAUUACAAGGAG
rnacentral:ncRNA from 1 species